GUGCUGGCGAGCGCUGCCGCUGGCAGCUCGCGGCUCUGCAGGCAUCCGUGGUGCCCGAUCUCGGUCCGGUUGCUGGCUUCUCGCCGGCUGAUCGCACCUCGCUGCGAAUCGGAGCUUGCUGAAGACGCAGUGCUGACUGCGGUGUUCUGGGAGUCGUGAGUGAGCGGGGCGGGUGGGUCAGCUAUGCGGUCCUUCUGGCAGUGUGCCGAAUUUGCACUGCCGAAUUUGGAAGAAGACUUGAGGCGAUUUUUUUUUUCUUAUUUUUCUCCCGUGUCAGACAUUUCCUCUUCUUCCUUUUGUCCUCUCUGAUUUAAUGAAGCAGAUCUGAUAGAGAUUACGUAACUGUUGCUCUGCAGAGUGCACUGGGAUAUGCUGAUUAUCUCUUUUGUCAGGGGGGAACCAGCGGACAAAAGAUGUCUAAGGGAACUACAUUUCAGAGCCGGUUUUACAGUGGGUUGGAUGUUUUAUUUUUCUUUUCAAAAUGCAUAAACCGAAUGCGUCCAGUGUUUCUAGCAAAGAUCGCCAGCAAAAGACAGCGGCUAAUCUAAUUUACUAACCAAAUAGGGGCUAGCUUAAGCAGGUUUUACCUUUGAGGUUAUGAGGAAGUAGCUAGAUUUUAAAAUUAAAACAUUAGCUUCUCCCAUCACCCUUUCUAUUCAUCGUGUGCUCAAAGCACAGAGCAUUUGUAUGUGGAGGAAAGUAACAGGAGAAAGCUCAGUAUGAACUGUUAAACCAAUGACAGCACCUACUUCAUAUGUCAGAAUUGCAUUUAGUUCAGCGGCUGUUGGAAAUGCCUGAUGAUUCAUAGUUGCACUGUACUUACAUGUAAUUUUUUGGGUAAUCAUAGAAUCCUAGAAUGGUUUGGGUUGGAAAGGACCUUAAAAUCAUCUGGUCCCAGCCCUCUGCCAUGGUCAGGGACACUUCACACUAGAUCAGGCUGCUCAAAGCCCUGUCCAGCCUAGUCUUGAACACUGCCAGGAGUGAGGCAUCCACAACUUCUUUGGGCAACCUGUGCCAGUGCCUCACCAGCCUCAUAGUUAAGAACUUCUUCCUCAUAUCUAACCUAAAUCUUUCCUGUGUAAGUUUAAACCCACUACCCGUUGUCUUACUGCUGCAGGUCCUGAUAAAGAAUUCCUCUCCAGCAUCCUUGUAGGCCCCCUUCAAAUAUUGGAAGGCUGCUACGAGGACUUAAUGCAGCCUUCUGUUCCCCAUAUAUGUAACUCCAUCUUGUAAUGAUCUCAAGGUUAUGGCAGCAAAGAGUAGAUCAUUAUUGUUAAACCUGAUAGUGGUUAAAACAUCUGUAAAUGAAAACUAGUUGUAUCUUUAAUGCAGAAAACAGUGAUGCCUGGACCAGCACUCUGUUCUGUAGAAAGACUGUUUAUUUUCUGGGGAAUUCCAUUCUUAAAUUCAAGAGAAUAGGACUAUAGCCCAUAUAAUAAUCUGUAAUAAUCAUUUAACCAUGAAAUUAACAACCCUCCCCCCCAUAUAUAAUGAAAAUUAGUUUCUGAAAAGGUGGUAUGUUUAAAGCUUGUCACAGAUGCUUUCAUUAGCAAAUACACGUUUGUGUUAGUGCACAGGCUGAAUGGUGACAAUUAUGAGCUGGCUUUUGUGAAGUAAUUGUGGAGAUCUCAGUCCAGUUCUUAACAAACCAAUGAAUGGAUGCCUCAUAACUAACUGUAAAAAAAAAAAUUCCUGUAAAAGGAGCUUUGACUGGCAUAAGCAAAAAGGCAGUCUUUGAAGUACUGUGUGCACAAAGAGAACCUUCCCUGUCCCUCCAGAAACAUCUUCAGUCCAUUGUGGGAAGAGAGGUCACCUACUGCAAGUUACUGUCAGUUAGCUUUACCCCCAGAAGCAGGAAUCAGACAUUUUUGAAGAUUAUUUUUUAUCUUUUACACUAGUUAAAGCACCGCUGAUUUUUCAGGAGCUUACCAUUGAUUUGGAUGCCCUUAUUAACAAAUAACUGGUGUGGGGAGAAAAGGAAAAUGGAGGCAUAUGAAAGUAUGCAAAUACUUUCACAAACAGAAUAUUUCUUUCAGCUGGGCCAAAGUUUAUUUUAAGUCUUGCUGUUCUUUAAUGUGCCUGUAUGUUAAAAAAAUUACAAGAAGAUUCAGAUUGUUUCAAAUUAAGGAUCUGU